GUCUACUGUAAACCAAGCUCACUUAGCUAAGGAUCGCUGUAAACAGCCAUCAAUCCACCAAAUGGGGGCCUGACACUGAGCCACGGGGCCCACAACAGUUUCCAGACUUCACAACACCCUUGUUUUGUGAGGCAGAGGUUUUCAGGCUGUGGCUGUUAUGCAUUACCCCGGUGCACAGCAUUCUUGUACAAGUCUGUUGGUGCAACUGUGUUUUCACCCUUAAUAUUGGAUCAAAAAUAUGUGAGAGUUGUCAUUGCUCAGCAUCUUUGCUUGAACUUGGACUGGCAGGGAAGAACGGAGUGAGCACAGAAUGUUUGUAAGAGAGCAGCCUUAAUUAGUCCUCAGCUGUAGCCAGAGAUUCCUGUCCUGUCUCCUCCACACAUCAACGUAGGAAGUGAUGCGUUCAGGUGAAUACACAUCGGGUUCCUGAAAAGCUUUGGUCGCUUCUCUCCCUUGAAAAGGAAACACUGUGCAGCAGGAACAUUUGAACGCCGCCUUCCCAAGCUGGCCAGAGAGAGCCCUCAGCUACCUUCCAAGAUUGUAUUUUGCUUCAGCUUUGAGGCUGACUGUUGAAACUGAGUGACUCAACCACAAAAUAAAAGAAGGUCUUCUGCAAGGAGUU